AAUCAACGCUGGCGGCGUGCCUCAGACAUGCAAGUCGAACGAUUAAACUUCUCUUCGGAGAAGAUAUAAAGUGGCGCACGGGUGAGUAACACGUAGGUAAUCUACCUUUGAGUGGGGAAUAACUUAGGGAAACUUAAGCUAAUACCGCAUAAUGCAGCGGCAUCUUCGGAUGACAGUUGUUAAAGGAGCAAUUCGCUUAAAGAGGAGCCUGCGGCAGAUUAGCUAGUUGGUAAGGUAAUGGCUUACCAAGGCGACGAUCUGUAACCGACCUGAGAGGGUGGUCGGUCACACUGACACUGAAUAACGGGUCAGACUCCUACGGGAGGCAGCAGUCGGGAAUUUUGGGCAAUGGGCGAAAGCCUGACCCAGCAACGCCGCGUGAAGGAUGAAGUCUCUCGGGAUGUAAACUUCGUAAGAAUAGGAAGAAUAAAUGACGGUACUAUUUGUAAGGUCCGGCUAACUACGUGCCAGCAGCCGCGGUAAUACGUAGGGACCAAGCGUUGUUCGGAUUUACUGGGCGUAAAGGGCGCGUAGGCGGUUUGUCAAGUCAGUUGUGAAAUCUCCGAGCUUAACUCGGAACGGUCAACUGAUACUGUCAAACUAGAGUACAGAAGGGGCAAUCGGAAUUCUUGGUGUAGCGGUGAAAUGCGUAGAUAUCAAGAGGAACACCUGAGGUGAAGACGGGUUGCUGGGCUGAUACUGACGCUGAGGCGCGAAAGCUAGGGUAGCAAACGGGAUUAGAUACCCUGGUAGUCAAUCGAA
rnacentral:rRNA from 1 species